rnacentral:lncRNA from 1 species
CUCCGGUCAACCUGUAGAGAAAAAGACGAUGGUCACAGUGGUAUAAAAAUUACAUCGAACGAGAAUCGGGAAAGGCUUCAUCGAAGGCAAAAAUUGAGGAAAUCCGCGGUGGCGCCACUGGACUACGGCAGUGUUUUUCGACCAAUUAGCUGGUUAUUUAGCUCCGAUUUGGCCACAAGGAGGUUCAGCAUCAAAAAAUGAGCCAAUGGGAGAAAUUUUACCUCGUUUGGCGGCCAAAAAAUCCUCCGAUGCGGCGGUGGGUGGCGGCGGCCGGUUCCUCCGGUGGCUGAGUCGUUUUCUCCGGCGAUGGUUCUGACGGCUAGGGUUUUGGGGUUGGGUGUGGAUGCGAUUAUUUAUAACCUUUCCCUUUUAAUUU